CUACGGGUGGCACCAGUGAGGAAUCUUGCGCAAUGGGGGAAACCCUGACGCAGCGACGCCGCGUGGGUGAUGAAGGCCUUCGGGUCGUAAAGCCCUGUCGAGAGGGAAGAAUUGCAUUUAGGUUAAUAGCCUAAUUGUUUGACGGUACCUCCAAAGGAAGCACCGGCUAACUCCGUGCCAGCAGCCGCGGUAAUACGGAGGGUGCAAGCGUUGUUCGGAAUCACUGGGCGUAAAGGGCGUGUAGGCGGCUGAGUAAGUCAGGUGUGAAAUCCCUCGGCUCAACCGAGGAAGUGCAUUUGAUACUGCUCAUCUUGAGUACUGGAGAGGGAGAUGGAAUUCCCGGUGUAGAGGUGAAAUUCGUAGAUAUCGGGAGGAACACCAGUGGCGAAGGCGAUCUCCUGGACAGAUACUGACGCUAAGGCGCGAAAGCGUGGGGAGCAAACAGGAUUAGAUACCCGAGUAGUC
rnacentral:rRNA from 1 species